AAAGUAAUCCCCCAAGCCCUGCUUUCGAUGGUCCGCCGAUAUGAGCAGGAGUAUGCUCCACAGUGCUCUGGCAUCGUUGCUUCUGCUGCUACGCAAAUAGGUGGAUGACCGGUCAAAGAUGGCGGCCGUAUUUCUCGCGCCCCAGCAGCCAAUGCGGCGUCUACACUUUAUUAUGUCUAUGGUUGCCUCGGUCUAAAGGACCGCGGCCAGCCGGCGGCAAGAUGCUUUUAAAUACAAGGCUACUCUCAAAAUCGACCGUCCAUGUUGGUUUGGACACACAUUCGCAUCAGUUCGUCGCUCAAUCGCGAGUUACAGCCUGCAGUUUGCUAGCUAGCAAAGUCAUCGACUACCAACGUUUAAAUACCUUGGCCAGAGCAUAACCGGUUAUCUUCACCCAAGAGACCUACUGUUGGUCAGUCGUUUUGGUUUUAAAGGUAAGUGCAUUGUUAGUCACAAUGUCUAGUUACUGGGCCAAAUGGAAAAUAAUAUUGAAAAGAUUUGAGAGGGACAAACAGGACAUUCACUUGAAUCACUACAUGCUACAGAAGUUGCAUCGAUUCCAGAAAACCAGGAAAAUGUUGAGCCAUCUGUAGACUUCAGAGCUGGUAUGUAAAAUGUAUUGCUGUGAUGCUUAAUUUGUGAUCCUGUAACUAAACUAUACACUUUGUUAGAUUUUCAAAUUUCUGUUCCCUAGCUCUUUCUCAGAACCAGGUUUCUCCCCAGUAAUCCAGACUCCAUUUCACAGAGCCAAGAGUUUGAGUACAACUCGUCAAGUACUAAGCUUUACACCCCCAGCAGCAAAUUUACCCUGGCAGCAUAUGGGUGAAAACGCUGGAGCAGUCUAAGCAGGGAUGCCCAGACUUCCCUCUCCCCAGACACUUCCUCUAUCUCUUCCGGGGGACACAGAGGCGUUCCCAGGCCAGCCGGGAGACAUAGUCCCUCCAGCGUGUCCUAGGCCUUCCCCGGGGUCUCCUCUCGGUGGGACGGGACCGGAACACCUUCCCAGGAAGGCGUUCCGGAGGCAUCCGAAACAGAUGCCCAAGCCACCUCAGCUGACCCCUCUCGAUGUGGAGGAGUCCAAUUCAUUAAAUAUUUCCAGUGACUCCAGAAUGAAAACCAAGCUCUGAGGGAGGAGAACCAAGCCCUGAGGGAAUGCAAUGCACAAGCGGCUUCGGAUGACAGCCGCUCACUUCAAGAGCAGGUGAAGCAAGUAGGGACAAUGUUGAAGACGUUUGCUCUCACUGGGCAAUCAGGUGCGUUACCUGAAAGGAGCAUCUGACCGUGAAGGCAGAAAAAGCCGCACAGCUGAGAAGGACCCACAGCCGACCCCUUCAACCUAGGCUGACUACUGACACCCCAGCAUCACUGAACUGGAACACUUUCUUUAUCCUGCAGUGCAGUCACUCACCCUGUUUUUUUUUUUGUAUUUUAACUUUAGUAUUGGCUUAUUUCAUUCCGUCUUAACGAUUCUAUUAUAGUUUGUAAAUCCUAUUUCAUACCUGUUACUUGAUAUUGCACAUUAACUAGUACCAAAAUUCUAAUUUCAUUUCAUCAGUGUGCUUAACUGUUAUUCUAUUAAUAAUAGCUUGGAAAUACUAUUUCGUACCUCUGAUACUUGAUAUUGCACAUUACCUGGUACCAAAUAUUCUACUUACUGUUUUUAACAUCAGCAUUUUUCAUUCCAUCACUGUGCUUAACUGUUAUUCUAUUGUUAAAUACAGCUUGUAAAUCCUUGUGACACAGAUCUUAUUGCAGCACGGUGUAAAUCUUGUGCUCCAGGUCAGCAAUGUGUAGAUGUAUUGAUUGUAUAAGUUAGUGAACUGUUGUAAGCUGUUGUAACCAAUGAAACAAAAUAUUAAAUGUUUGUAGUAUGAGCUGAAACUGAAGGUGCAAGUAGGAGAAUAGGAAACCCUGUUCAAGCGGUUGCCGGGGAGAGAAAGAUUUAGUAUGUCUGUCUUUGGAGAAACAGGACACGGUUAGAGACACACACAUAGCCUGACAGACAAGACAGAAACCAGAUGGGGGGGCAAGAAGAUGUUUGCAUUUACCCUUAUAAGGAAUAGAACUGGAACUGGACCAAUAGCAUACUUGCUUUGUGAAUUUAACGACUCUAUCUUUUGGGCGUAGUAGAAGUAUAAAAUGAUCUGUUGAAUGUUGAUCCUUAGACAUUGUGCGGCGACACUUGUCUCCAAAAGCUUUUGUAAUAAACGGAAUAUGCGGUAUGGUAAUUGACCUGACUCCUGGUGUUUUAUUCUCCUUUCCAACAAACCAACUCGGGGAAGUGUUUUGAGAGAGAAGUUGAUGACGAUGGGUGGGGUCCAGGCACGGGAAAGUGGAAACAAUUGGGGAUACAGGUGGCAAAUGUAUCUCCACCACCUGAUGAGGACCCGUCCACCUUGGCUCCGGCCACUUUCGCUUGAUGACCUUCAGCAACACCCACUCCGCCUGGGGCAGGUUCUGGUCCAGCGGGUGCAGGUCCCUCCUAUCUCCGACUCUGUUGGGUGAACCCAGUGGUCUGAUUUAACGAGCAUCGAAUCUUCAUGAG
ensembl:lncRNA